rnacentral:rRNA from 1 species
GACGAACGCUGGCGGCGUGCUUAACACAUGCAAGUCGAACGAAGUGGCGAACGGGUGAGUAAUACGUGGGUAACCUGCCCUCCUUUUUGGGAUAAGCCUUGGAAACGGGGUCUAAUACCGAAUAAAGGGGGAUGGGCUCGCGGUCUAUCAGCUUGUUGGUGGGGUGAUGGCCUACCAAGGCGGUGUCGGGUAGCCGGCGUGAGAGGGUGAACGGCGACAUGGGGACUGAGAUACGGCCCAGACGCCGACAGGAGGCAGCAGUGGGGGAUAUUGCGCAAAGGGCGAAAGCCGGAUGCAGCGACGCCGGGUGGGGGAUGAAGGGUUUCGGGUUGUAAACCUCUGGCGGUAGGGAACGGGUAGGUGGAGAAGAAGCGCCGGCUAACUACGUGCCAGCAGCCGCGGUAAUAC